AUUGAACGCUGGCGGCGUGCCUAACACAUGCAAGUCGAUCGGUAACGCGGGGGCAACCCUGGCGACGAGAGGCGGACGGGUGAGCAAUGCUUGGGAAUCUGCCCAUCAGCGGGGGAUAGCCAGGGGAAACUCUGGGUAAUACCGCAUGAUCUCGAGAGAGCAAAGGGGCGCAAGUCUCGCCUUGAGAGGAGCCUAUGGCUGAUGAGCUAGUGGGCGGUGUAAUGGACCACCAAGGCGAUGAUCAGUAACUGGUCUGGGAGGACGAUCAGUCACACCGGAACUGAGACACGGUCCGGACUCCUACGGGAGGCAGCAGUGGGGAAUAUUGGACAAUGGGCGAAAGCCUGAUCCAGCAAUGCCGCGUGCAGGAUGAAGGCCUUCGGGUUGUAAACUGCUUUUGUACGGAACGAAACGGUGAGCUCUAAUACAGUUUGCUAAUGACGGUACCGUAAGAAUAAGCACCGGCUAACUACGUGCCAGCCGCCGCCGUAA
rnacentral:rRNA from 1 species